CCGGAGCUAACGCGUUAAAUCGACCGCCUGGGGAGUACGGCCGCAAGGUUAAAACUCAAAUGAAUUGACGGGGGCCCGCACAAGCGGUGGAGCAUGUGGUUUAAUUCGAUGCAACGCGAAGAACCUUACCUACUCUUGACAUCCAGAGAACUUUCCAGAGAUGGAUUGGUGCCUUCGGGAACUCUGAGACAGGUGCUGCAUGGCUGUCGUCAGCUCGUGUUGUGAAAUGUUGGGUUAAGUCCCGCAACGAGCGCAACCCUUAUCCUUUGUUGCCAGCGGUUCGGCCGGGAACUCAAAGGAGACUGCCAGUGAUAAACUGGAGGAAGGUGGGGAUGACGUCAAGUCAUCAUGGCCCUUACGAGUAGGGCUACACACGUGCUACAAUGGCAUAUACAAAGAGAAGCGACCUCGCGAGAGCAAGCGGACCUCAUAAAGUAUGUCGUAGUCCGGAUUGGAGUCUGCAACUCGACUCCAUGAAGUCGGAAUCGCUAGUAAUCGUAGAUCAGAAUGCUACGGUGAAUACGUUCCCGGGCCUUGUACACACCGCCCGUCACACCAUGGGAGUGGGUUGCAAAAGAAGUAGGUAGCUUAACCUUCGGGAGGGCGCUUACCACUUUGUGAUUCAUGACUGGGGUGAAGUCGUAACAAGGUAACCAAGGGCGAAUUCUG
rnacentral:rRNA from 1 species